UACGGAGGGUGCAAGCGUUAAUCGGAAUUACUGGGCGUAAAGCGCACGUAGGUGGUUUGCUAAGUCAGCUGUGAAAUCCCCAGGCUCAACCUGGGAACUGCGUCCGAUACUGGCAGGCUUGAAUCCGGGAGAGGGAUGUGGAAUUCCAGGUGUAGCGGUGAAAUGCGUAGAUAUCUGGAGGAACACCGGUGGCGAAGGCGGCAUCCUGGACCGACACUGACGCUGAGGAGCGAAAGCCAGGGGAGCAAACGGG
rnacentral:rRNA from 1 species